AUUGAACGCUGGCGGCAGGCCUAACACAUGCAAGUCGAACGGUAGCACAGAGAGCUUGCUCUCGGGUGACGAGUGGCGGACGGGUGAGUAAUGCCUGGGAAACUGCCCGAUGGAGGGGGAUAACUACUGGAAACGGUAGCUAAUACCGCAUAACGUCGCAAGACCAAAGAGGGGGACCUUCGGGCCUCUUGCCAUCGGAUGUGCCCAGAUGGGAUUAGCUUGUAGGUGAGGUAACGGCUCACCUAGGCGACGAUCCCUAGCUGGUCUGAGAGGAUGACCAGCCACACUGGAACUGAGACACGGUCCAGACUCCUACGGGAGGCAGCAGUGGGGAAUAUUGCACAAUGGGCGCAAGCCUGAUGCAGCCAUGCCGCGUGUAUGAAGAAGGCCUUCGGGUUGUAAAGUACUUUCAGCGGGGAGGAAGGGAGUGAGGUUAAUAACCUUAUUCAUUGACGUUACCCGCAGAAGAAGCACCGGCUAACUCCGUGCCAGCAGCCGCGGUAAUACGGAGGGUGCAAGCGUUAAUCGGAAUUACUGGGCGUAAAGCGCACGCAGGCGGUCUGUCAAGUCGGAUGUGAAAUCCCCGGGCUCAACCUGGGAACUGCAUUCGAAACUGGCAGGCUGGAGUCUUGUAGAGGGGGGUAGAAUUCCAGGUGUAGCGGUGAAAUGCGUAGAGAUCUGGAGGAAUACCGGUGGCGAAGGCGGCCCCCUGGACAAAGACUGACGCUCAGGUGCGAAAGCGUGGGAGCAAACAGGAUUAGAUACCCUGGUAGUCCACGCUGUAAACGAUGUCGACUUGGAGGUUGUUCCCUUGAGGAGUGGCUUCCGGAGCUAACGCGUUAAGUCGACCGCCUGGGGAGUACGGCCGCAAGGUUAAAACUCAAAUGAAUUGACGGGGGCCCGCACAAGCGGUGGAGCAUGUGGUUUAAUUCGAUGCAACGCGAAGAACCUUACCUACUCUUGACAUCCAGAGAACUUAGCAGAGAUGCUUUGGUGCCUUCGGGAACUCUGAGACAGGUGCUGCAUGGCUGUCGUCAGCUCGUGUUGUGAAAUGUUGGGUUAAGUCCCGCAACGAGCGCAACCCUUAUCCUUUGUUGCCAGCGAUUCGGUCGGGAACUCAAAGGAGACUGCCAGUGAUAAACUGGAGGAAGGUGGGGAUGACGUCAAGUCAUCAUGGCCCUUACGAGUAGGGCUACACACGUGCUACAAUGGCAUAUACAAAGAGAAGCGACCUCGCGAGAGCAAGCGGACCUCAUAAAGUAUGUCGUAGUCCGGAUUGGAGUCUGCAACUCGACUCCAUGAAGUCGGAAUCGCUAGUAAUCGUGGAUCAGAAUGCCACGGUGAAUACGUUCCCGGGCCU
rnacentral:rRNA from 1 species